rnacentral:tRNA from 1 species
GCGGACGUGGCGGAACUUGGUAUACGCGCGGGAUUGAGGUUCCCGUGGGCGCAAGCCCUUGGAGGUUCAAGUCCUCUCGUCCGCACCA